AAUCGAACCUGGAGAUAGCUGGUUCUCUCCGAAAUAGCUUUAGGGCUAGCCUCAAGUGAUGAUUAUUGGAGGUAGAGCACUGUUUGGACGAGGGGCCCCUCUCGGGUUACCGAAUUCAGACAAACUCCGAAUGCCAAUUAAUUUAACUUGGGAGUCAGAACAUGGGUGAUAAGGUCCGUGUUCGAAAGGGAAACAGCCCAGACCACCAGCUAAGGUCCCAAAAUAUAUGUUAAGUGGAAAAGGAUGUGGCGUUGCCCAGACAACUAGGAUGUUGGCUUAGAAGCAGCCAUCAUUUAAAGAGUGCGUAAUAGCUCACUAGUCGAGUGACACUGCGCCGAAAAUGUACCGGGGCUAAACAUAUUACCGAAGCUGUGGAUUGUCCUUUGGACAAUGGUAGGAGAGCGUUCUAAGGGCGUUGAAGCAUGAUCGUAAGGACAUGUGGAGCGCUUAGAAGUGAGAAUGCCGGUGUGAGUAGCGAAAGACGGGUGAGAAUCCCGUCCACCGAUUGACUAAGGUUUCCAGAGGAAGGCUCGUCCGCUCUGGGUUAGUCGGGUCCUAAGCUGAGGCCGACAGGCGUAGGCGAUGGAUAACAGGUUGAUAUUCCUGUACCACCUAUAAUCGUUUUAAUCGAUGGGGGGACGCAGUAGGAUAGGCGAAGCGUGCGAUUGGAUUGCACGUCUAAGCAGUAAGGCUGAGUAUUAGGCAAAUCCGGUACUCGUUAAGGCUGAGCUGUGAUGGGGAGAAGACAUUGAGUCUUCGAGUCGUUGAUUUCACACUGCCGAGAAAAGCCUCUAGAUAGAAAAUAGGUGCCCGUACCGCAAACCGACACAGGUAGUCAAGAUGAGAAUUCUAAGGUGAGCGAGCGAACUCUCGUUAAGGAACUCGGCAAAAUGACCCCGUAACUUCGGGAGAAGGGGUGCUCUUUAGGGUUAACGCCCAGAAGAGCCGCAGUGAAUAGGCCCAAGCGACUGUUUAUCAAAAACACAGGUCUCUGCUAAACCGUAAGGUGAUGUAUAGGGGCUGACGCCUGCCCGGUGCUGGAAGGUUAAGAGGAGUGGUUAGCUUCUGCGAAGCUACGAAUCGAAGCCCCAGUAAACGGCGGCCGUAACUAUAACGGUCCUAAGGUAGCGAAAUUCCUUGUCGGGUAAGUUCCGACCCGCACGAAAGGCGUAACGAUUUGGGCACUGUCUCAACGAGAGACUCGGUGAAAUCAUAGUACCUGUGAAGAUGCAGGUUACCCGCGACAGGACGGAAAGACCCCGUGGAGCUUUACUGUAGCCUGAUAUUGAAAUUCGGCACAGCUUGUACAGGAUAGGUAGGAGCCUUUGAAACGUGAGCGCUAGCUUACGUGGAGGCGCUGGUGGGAUACUACCCUAGCUGUGUUGGCUUUCUAACCCGCACCACUUAUCGUGGUGGGAGACAGUGUCAGGCGGGCAGUUUGACUGGGGCGGUCGCCUCCUAAAAGGUAACGGAGGCGCUCAAAGGUUCCCUCAGAAUGGUUGGAAAUCAUUCAUAGAGUGUAAAGGCAUAAGGGAGCUUGACUGCGAGACCUACAAGUCGAGCAGGGUCGAAAGACGGACUUAGUGAUCCGGUGGUUCCGCAUGGAAGGGCCAUCGCUCAACGGAUAAAAGCUACCCCGGGGAUAACAGGCUUAUCUCCCCCAAGAGUUCACAUCGACGGGGAGGUUUGGCACCUCGAUGUCGGCUCAUCGCAUCCUGGGGCUGUAGUCGGUCCCAAGGGUUGGGCUGUUCGCCCAUUAAAGCGGUACGCGAGCUGGGUUCAGAACGUCGUGAGACAGUUCGGUCCCUAUCCGUCGUGGGCGUAGGAAAUUUGAGAGGAGCUGUCCUUAGUACGAGAGGACCGGGAUGGACAUACCUCUGGUGUACCAGUUGUCGUGCCAACGGCAUAGCUGGGUAGCUAUGUGUGGACGGGAUAAGUGCUGAAAGCAUCUAAGCAUGAAGCCCCCCUCAAGAUGAGAUUUCCCAACUUCGGUUAUAAGAUCCCUCAAAGAUGAUGAGGUUAAUAGGUUCGAGGUGGAAGCAUGGUGACAUGUGGAGCUGACGAAUACUAAUCGAUCGAAGACUUAAUCAA
rnacentral:rRNA from 1 species